rnacentral:rRNA from 1 species
UACGAAGGGGGCGAGCGUUGUUCGGAUUUACUGGGCGUAAAGGGCGCGCAGGCGGCUCAUUUUGUCAGGCGUGAAAGCCCCGGGCUUAACCUGGGAACUGCGGUUGAUACGGAUGGGCUAGAGUUCGGGAGAGGAGAGUGGAAUUGCGAGUGUAGAGGUGAAAUUCGUAGAUAUUCGCAGGAACACCAGUGGCGAAGGCGGCUCACUGGUCCAUAACUGACGCUGAGGUGCGAAAGCGUGGGGAGCAAACAGG